AUUGAACGCUGGCGGCAGGCCUAACACAUGCAAGUCGAGCGGAGCGGCGGACGGGUGAGUAAUGCCUAGGAAUCUGCCUGGUAGUGGGGGAUAACGUCCGGAAACGGGCGCUAAUACCGCAUACUAUCAGAUGAGCCUAGGUCGGAUUAGCUAGUGGGUGGGGUAAAGGCCUACCAAGGCGACGAUCCGUAACUGGUCUGAGAGGAUGAUCAGUCAAAAUGGAACUGAGACACGGGCCCGACUCCUAAGGGAGGCAGCAGUGGUGAAUAGUGCAAAAUGGGCGCAAGCCUGAUGCAGCCAUGCCGCGGGUAUGAAGAAGGCCUUCGGGUUGUAAAGUACGUUCAGCGGGGAGGCGGUACCCGCAGAAGAAGCACCGGCUAACUCCGUGCCAGCAGCCGCGGUAAUUC
rnacentral:rRNA from 1 species